rnacentral:tRNA from 1 species
GCCCCGUUCGUCUAGCGGCCCAGGACACCGCCUCUCACGGCGGCAGCGCCGGUUCAAAUCCGGCACGGGGUA